GUUAUGGCCCUCACCCCCAAAGAGGAAACUAUAAGCAGGAUUAUCCUGCUGCUUUUCACGGAUCAUAACUUCAAAUUCAGGGCCAUUCUUGGUGGCAUACUCUACAAGUUUGUCGAUACGUUUUUGGAGCUCUGUAUCAGAUGGAGGAGCAGCUGGAGGUGGAGUGGAGUCGUAAUGGCCAUGGAAAGGAGAAGGAUAGAGUUGAGGGGGUACAUGGGGAGGGAAAGGAUGGGGAGGAUGUUGUUGAUGAAGAAGGUGUGGAUGGGGAGGAGUGUGAGGAUGGAGCUGAGGUUGCUGCUGCUGCACGUGGUGUGGGUAAGGGAAUUGUUGCAUGGAAUGAUGCGGAGACAUAAAUGGAGGUGGAGAAAACUGCUGAUGUUGAGAAUGAAAUCCAAAUUGUGGCUGUUGCGGUUGAAUAUUGGCAGUUAGACAUUGCUGCUGGGCAAAUGCCAUAGCUGGGGCUGCUGCUGUUGCAUAAUCAUGAGCUUGUCGGUCCAUCAACGUAAUAUGAU
rnacentral:misc_RNA from 1 species